rnacentral:lncRNA from 1 species
GUGACUAUGCCCGCUCCUCUCGCAAGGCUUACCUGAGCGGCCCCGGGUCCGGGAGGGCGGUACCGCCCCUCUCCGCCAGGCGGGGAAGCUCCGUCCCACUGCCGGCCCCGCCCCCCCCCGCCCCCCCCCCGUGGCACUUCCUGCACGCUCUGGGCCGUUGGAGGCUUGCAGCUCUGGGCCGUUGGAGGAUUGCAGCUCUGUGCCUGACACCCGCGCUCCGGGGCCACACCGCUGCGGUUGGAAUACUGCCAAGGCCACGUGUCCCGGGAUCUCACAUCUAGGGUACAGAUCAGCUCUUCCCUGGCCAGUGGCAUUGUGACUGUUUCUGCCACUCUGUGGCUGCAACCCAUAGACCACGUGAUGAGAAAAGAAAGGCUUCGGAGCCCAUCCACAUGAGGAAUCAGAAGGACACGGUCACAGAAGGCAAGAUGGGAUCCUGAGCUGGAGGGGACAGUGCCACCAAGGACAGUCAUGUGUCACUUCUCUGUUACUUGAACUUGGUAAGUGUCCUGUACUGUGGUUUUGUGAGAGGAUAUGCCUGAGGUGUUAGGUACCAAAGGACACCAGGCUUGCAAACCACUCUGAGGUCAGGAACAAAGAAUUUGUA